UAACGCGUGAGGAACCUGCCUCAAAGAGGGGGACAACAGUUGGAAACGACUGCUAAUACCGCAUAAGCCCACGGCUCGGCAUCGAGCAGAGGGAAAAGGAGCAAUCCGCUUUGAGAUGGCCUCGCGUCCGAUUAGCUAGUUGGUGAGGUAACGGCCCACCAAGGCGACGAUCGGUAGCCGGACUGAGAGGUUGAACGGCCACAUUGGGACUGAGACACGGCCCAGACUCCUACGGGAGGCAGCAGUGGGGAAUAUUGCACAAUGGGGGAAACCCUGAUGCAGCGACGCCGCGUGGAGGAAGAAGGUCUUCGGAUUGUAAACUCCUGUUGUUGAGGAAGAUAAUGACGGUACUCGACAAGGAAGUGACGGCUAACUACGUGCCAGCAGCCGCGGUAAAACGUAGGUCACAAGCGUUGUCCGGAAUUACUGGGUGUAAAGGGAGCGCAGGCGGGAGAACAAGUUGGAAGUGAAAUCCAUGGGCUCAACCCAUGAACUGCUUUCAAAACUGUUUUUCUUGAGUAGUGCAGAGGUAGGCGGAAUUCCCGGUGUAGCGGUGGAAUGCGUAGAUAUCGGGAGGAACACCAGUGGCGAAGGCGGCCUACUGGGCACCAACUGACGCUGAGGCUCGAAAGUGUGGGUAGCAAACAGGAUUAGAUACCCUGGUAGUCCACACCGUAAACGAUGAUUACUAGGUGU
rnacentral:rRNA from 1 species